rnacentral:rRNA from 1 species
CCUUGAUGACGACUGGCGCACGGGUGAGUAACGCGUAUCCAACCUUCCCAUAACUACGGGAUAACCCGUUGAAAGACGGCCUAAUACCGUAUGAUAUCGUUUGCUGACAUCAAAUAACGAUUAAAGGUUUAGCGGUUAUGGAUGGGGAUGCGUCUGAUUAGCUUGUUGGCGGGGUAACGGCCCACCAAGGCUACGAUCAGUAGGGGUUCUGAGAGGAAGGUCCCCCACAUUGGAACUGAGACACGGUCCAAACUCCUACGGGAGGCAGCAGCA